rnacentral:rRNA from 1 species
CAAUAGCGUAUAUUAAAGUUGUUGCGGUUAAAAAGCUCGUAGUUGGAUUUCUGUUGAGGAUGACCGGUCCGCCCUCUGGGUGUGAAUCUGGCUCAGCCUUGACAUCUUCCUGAAGAACGUAUCUGCACUUGACUGUGUGGUGCGGUAUUUGGGACAUUUACCUUGAGGAAAUUAGAGUGUUUAAAGCAGGCAAUUGGCUUGAAUACAUUAGCAUGGAAUAAUAAGAUAGGACUUUGGUGCUAUUUUGUUGGUUUGCACAUCAAGGUAAUGAUUAACAGAAUCAGUCGGGGAUAUUCGUAUGCAAAUGUCAGAGGUGAAAUUCUUGGAUUUUUUACAGACGAACAACUGCGAAAGCAUUUAUCAAGGAUGUUUUCAUUAA